rnacentral:rRNA from 1 species
AACUAACGCUGGCGGCGUGCCUAACACAUGCAAGUCGUACGAGAAAGUUGGCUUCGGCCGAUGAGUACAGUGGCGCACGGGUGAGUAACGCGUGGAUAAUCUGCCCUUAAGUGUGGAAUAACGUACCGAAAGGUGCGCUAAUACCGCAUAAUGCCUGGCAACAUAAGUUGUCCGGCCAAAGAAGGCCUCUGCUUGCAAGCUUUCGCUAAAGGAUGAGUCCGCGUACCAUUAGCUAGUUGGUGGGGUAACGGCCUACCAAGGCGACGAUGGUUAGCUGGUCUGAGAGGAUGAUCAGCCACACUGGAACUGAGACACGGUCCAGACUCCUACGGGAGCAGCAGUGAGGAAUAUUGCGCAAUGGGGGCAACCCUGACGCAGCAACGCCGCGUGAGUGAGGAAGGUUUUCGGACUGUAAAGCUCUGUCGAGCGGGAAGAAGUGUACCAUGGCUAAUAUCCAUGAUAUUUGACGGUACCGCUAGAGG